UUGAAAGAAGUGAUAGUCAAAAUAUUGAAGUUGGUGAGGAUGCUUUCAAUGCUGCAACUUCAUCUACCAAUACUAUCCCAAACAUUAUUUCUCCAUUAGAAGUAGUAUAUCCAAAUACUCAAGAUCCACUAGAUCCAUCAGAUUCUAAAAUUAGUGAUUUUUCAGUAAAGGGAUCUGAUGAAUCAACUGAUGAUAGUCCAAUUUCUGAAAAUGGUGACAUACUUGGAGAAGAUGAUUACUUCAGUGAUGUACAUGAGGAGUACAUAGAGCUUAGGACUGAGAAAAGGGAAGCACUGAGGAGGAAAAGAAGGGAGAGAAUUCCUGCAGAUACUGAAGAAGUGUCAUGUGGUGUAACUGGACCAAAUUUGGGAUUUGAUGAGACUGAAACAAGAAAAAAAUGUUUAGAAGGGAGGCUAGGGGUGAUGAAUGAUAUUACCCAUGUUCUGAUGAUUCUAGCUUAGGAUCUGAUGAUGGUGAAUGGUGUUUUGAAGAAGUGGAAAGGAGGAAGCUAAAACUAUCAAAAUCUAGAUACAAAACUGAUACAAAGGGUGAUAGAUUUAAUAAAACUUGUAAGAAAAUAGUGUGGCAGUUAGGUAUGAUUUUUGGGAGUGUGAAUGAGUUUAGAGAUGCAGUUACUAAGUGUGCAGUUCAGAGAAGAGUGCAGAUUGAAAAGUAUGUUAAUGAGCCAACUAGAGUAAGCGUGAGGUGUUGCAAAAAGAAUUGCAAAUGGCUUUUGUAUGCAAGCCUUGAUAAUGAAACUAAUAACUUUGUCAUCAGGACUUAUAUUCCAUUACACAAGUGUGAGAAGUCCACCAGAAAUUACUUGUGCAAUUCUAAGUUUCUGGCUGUUGUCUUUAGAAAAAGAAUAGUUGAACAACCAAACAUAAGAGUGUUUAAGUUGCAAGAGUUGGUUAGGAAGAAGUUUAAAGUACAUGUUGGCAAGACCACAACCAGGAGAGCAAGAGCUAGAGUGUUGAAGGAGAUUAUGGGUGAUCAUAUUCUUGAGUUUGGGAAAAUUCUUAAUUAUAGGGAUGAGUUGUUAAGGACAAACAUUGGGAGUACUUUUGUUGUAAAGCUUGGUGAUGCUAAUGAACUUGGUCAGCCAGUUUUUGAAGCUUUUUACAUCUGUUUUGGUGCACUCAAGCAAUAAUUCAUGCAUGUUAGGAAAUGCAUAGGCAUAGAUGGUUAUUUCUUGUAAGGAAUAAGUAGGGGACAAUUACUAGUUGCUAUUGCUAAGAUUGGAAUAACCAAAUGCUUCCACUUGCUUGGGCAGUAGUGGAAUAUGAAAACAAAAAUACUUAGACUUGGUUUUUGAACUAGAGGUUCUCAAACAUCUGUUGUUCCUAGUUCAUCUAAUGCACCUAGUUCAGCUACUGCAAACAGAGGAAAGAAAAAAUUGUGGCAACAACAACCCCAUAUAAAGGCCAUGAGUGAUGGGAAUAGGUGUGUUUCAAGCUGAGAAUGGGCUCACAACUUUUAAUCCUGUAUUGCCAAGUCAGAGAAUUGUAUCUACUGGACCUAGAAAGAUAAUAAGAUCUGCUGAUGUAACUAGUGAUAUUGGUUUCAAACCAACAAGUGGACUGAAGUGGAAAGGAACUAAAUCAAUCACAACUAGAAAGCUUCAAGAGAUUAGAGAUCAAGCAAGGGCUAAUGGUUCAAACAAUGCAAGUCAAAGUACCACUCCUUCAUUGCCAAGAGACCCGUACAAGCUAUAAUGUUGAUAUUAAAUGUUGAUUUUGUUAAUUUAGAAGUACUGUAUUUUGUUAAUGUCAAAGCUACUUAAGACUUUAAGCAACUGUUUUGUUCAUGUUGGUAAAAGGUAUUCAGAUGUACCAUUUUUUAUUUAUUUAUGAAACUAUAUUUUCUUGUAAGAAAUGGUACUGAAUUCUGGUAUU